rnacentral:rRNA from 1 species
UACGUAGGGUGCUAGCGUUGUCCGGAUUUAUUGGGCGUAAAGGGCUCGUAGGCGGCGUGUCGCGUCGGGAGUGAAAGCCCGCUGCUUAACGGCGGGUUGGCUUCCGGUACGGGCAUCGCUGGAGUGCGGAAGAGGUGGGUGGAAUUCCUAGUGUAGAGGUGAAAUUCGUAGAUAUUAGGAAGAACACCGGUGGCGAAGGCGGCCCACUGGAUCGGUACUGACGCUGAGGUGCGAAAGCGUGGGGAGCAAACAGG